rnacentral:lncRNA from 1 species
AUAAUUUUUUGGAAAAUGUUAUCUUGUCUCAUGAUCUCCUAGUUUUUUUUUUACUCCUUUAUACGAUGGUUAUUGCGGGAAAGUUCCCCAUCUGAAUCUGGCAUAGGAGUAUGAUCAAAGACCUGACGAUGGGAAACUCUCUCGAAAUGACCAUUGUCUAAAGAAAGAGCAAAAAACUAGGAGGUUAGGGAAAAAGGUAACAUUUUUUAAGGUAAUUUUUAAAAUUAUCUUAACCUUAGGUUUCAGGCGUUAAUUAUUCAAGUUGCAUUAGCAUAUACGCGUGGUUCAUUAAUAGUGAUAACAUCCGAAUGAACCACUCACCUGGACGGAGUAAAGAUUGGACAGAUUUGAACAAAAACACAAUACGAGGUCGAACUUUGGUAAGUUGGGAGUAGUUUUGAAUACAACUAGUUGGUAGUGUUCUCCUGUCAAAACUUCAAAGCCGAGAGAAACUAUUUGGACUGUGAAAAUAGUCGUUAAAAUUUGUCCUUGCGUUGAAUCAAGUGGAAGAAUAGUUUUAAACCUAGAUCCAUUGGUUUCAAUACAAUUCGACUAUAGUGCGUUUCUUUUAACUCUGUACAGUUGAACUUCCAAAAACCGUGCUCUCUCAUCAAAGUCGCACGUAAAGCGUGUUAAACUCUUCCGGAAAUAUAACUCAAAAUGGUGAAAAGCAUACUUUGGUGGUUUACAUGAGUAUUUCUCAGUAAAAACUUCCCAUUGGUAAAUUACGUCACGGAAUAAGGGAGAGGGGAUGGCCAAUUUGUUCAUGAAACAGGCGGUGCAGUAUGCAAGAGGCCGUCCUACAUACCCGGCAGAAUUGUUUCGUUUUAUUGCCGAAAAGACUCCGGAGCAUAAACUUGCUUGGGAUGUCGGAACGGGCAAUGGACAAGCUGCCCGGUCGUUGGCUGAGCACUACGAGCAAAUCGUAGCCACGGACACGAGUUCAAAGCAGCUGGAACUAGCGCCGAAAAUUCCGAACGUCCGCUACGAACAAACCUCCUCAAAUAUGUCCAAAGACGAGCUUUAUCGAAAGGUAGCCCAAGAAUCGAACGUGGAUUUGGUGACAGCCGCCCAAGCCGCACGUUGGUUUGACCUACCGACAUUCUACGAGCAAGUGAGGAGGGUGCUAAAAAAACCACAUGGGGUCAUCGCGGUUUGGUGCUAUACACUCCCCGAGGUCAAUUCGAAAAUGGACGCGGUUCUACGGAAGUACAAUGAGAAUCCUUAUGGAGAUCCGAGGAAAAAAACCGCGCAUGAUGGGUACAAGGAUCUAGAGUUCCCUUUUCAACCUUUGCAUGGACUAGAAGGGACUGGACCGUUUCAUUUCAAAAAUGAGAAGACCAUGAGCCUGGAUGAUUACUUCAUUUUUUUGAAAUCUAGGUUUGCGUAUCAAAAGGCUAAAGAUCAAGGUGUAGAACUUCUGGAUCAGGAGAUGAUUGAAGAGUUCAGGCGCGCCUGGAGUGCGGAUGGAAAUGUUGGCUCCAAAUCGGUCAGAUGGCCAGUGUAUUUAAGGAUAGGGAGAGUGGAGACGUAAAAUCUAAUAAGUUUUUAAGGACCAUUUGGACAUAACUUCAAUACACAACUUUUUAAAACCUCGCUUUAAACUUAAUUUUUACAAUUCUAAGUUAGUGGGCAUUGAUUGGUACCAACCACAUAGCAUGUCUUGCUACCCACGGUAACAAAAAGGCAGAGGUUGUUAUGGAUGAUUUGGACAUUUCCAAUUAAUCGUGGUAAGAUCUCUAUAAAUUAGGUUAUUAACCCAAAUCGACGGCGGAAGUCCGCAACCACGUAUCUCAUUUGCGGUGUUUGAAAAUCUCCGCCUCUAUAUUAUUUUUUUAUAAGAGAACAAAUUGACACCAUCCCUUGAAGUUUUAGCAGAAUUUUCUUCGCACAGAGAAUAAAAAUCACGACAGUUUUAAAGAAUUACCGUUCAGUAGUUUUCCGUUUAAAAAAUGAAGUAUGACAGGAAGUCUGCGACGUUGCAAACCAAGAUACGUGGCUGCGGACUUACAGUGUGGAAAUGUUGCGGCAUUACUCCUACUUGUGUUGCGGUGCUACCAUAAUUAAUUGGAAACAAACACAACAAACAAAUUGGGACAGUGCCUUAAUUUUAAGAGAUCACCCCUAACACUUUUUUUCCGUGCCUAAUUUACUUUCUCGUUUUAUUUUUAACCAUCAUAAGCCGCUCAAUACCUUUGAACUUUCCCCGAAUUACCUCUAAAUUAUGAGUAGCUUAUUACUCGCAUGAUUAUAGCGCAGAUUAUUCCCAGAACGACCCGCAGCCUGACUGAUGACAUUUUGUGUUUUCCUGGUGGAUUAGACAAGACUAAUGUGAAAUAGAGCUACUUGGUCGGCUGUGUCGUUUAGGUGACCGCGGGAGUCGCUUACGGGCAGAAUUGGACGUAUUUCUGCCAAACGGAACCAUGUGCAUUAAGACAUGAGCCCUGAGACCCAUAAGAAUAUAUGCAUUACAGGGCUCACAUCGCGAUGAACAUAGUUCCGUUUGACAGAAAUACGUCCAAUUGUUGAUUAGCUGUGGGCAUCUCCCCGCUGGCCGGUCGUAUUAUGCCCCGUAAGCAGGCAAUUAUUCGGCCCACAAACUGGCUAUUUCAGUCGCAAAAAUGACACAGAUGACCAACUGGACUACAUUUUGCAAUUAGAAACUACAAUUUCUAGCCCACUCGUAAAAACACUCAAGUGCAUAGGAAAAAUAAUAGCACGUACGUCGCUUCUAAACUGAACCAGAUAUUUUAGGUCAAAACUGCAAAAUGCAGUCCGAUUACUAAACUCCAUGUCACCUUAGUCUUUUCUUCUACCAGACAAACACAAAAUGAACAGCGUUUAACAGAAAAGAGUCCAGCCACAUCAGCUAUUGACAAAUUUAAUUGGGCAAUGUAAUUUUUUACAAGGGAACGCUUGUACGGUUUCCUUCGAAAAUUCUAAGGCAUUUCCUUAUUCGCACUAGGCAGAAAAUUAACUAUCUGUACAAUAAUCUGUACAACCGUUUUCAUAUAAAAAAUUAAAUUGCCCAAUGAUAGGCAAUAGCUGAUGAGACUUGGUUCCUUUCUGCUCAACUCGGUCCAAAUGUCAGCAAUGGGGCUGCUGAACCUUUAUUUGUACACGGUGUGAGCCGCGCAGAAGGAGUGAUUCUUAAGUAUGUAAAUAAAACUGAUUCUAAGGAGAUAUUUUUAUCACGAGUCAAUGAAAUGAGGGGUUAACAGAGGACUCUGGCAAUUCGAGUUGUCACAGUUUUAUCCGUGAAAAGAUUCCUCAGGGGGCAGUUGGGAGUAGCUCCGAGAUGCGACAGUCCGCUUUGACGCAACUUUUAAACGUAUUGUUGAUCGAACAAGUUUUAGCUGCAUUAGAACAAGUUGGCGAAAAGUUCGGUGCAUGGACAAGACCUUUCAGGACUCCCGGGGGAUCAGCAACUUCCCGUGUACAAAUACUACCUUUAUCUUGAGGUGCUUUGAUGAAAUUCGCCCCGAGCUCCCCGACUCCUGCCGAUUCAUCAUUUAUGGAUGCUCAUUUAUGGUUUUCCGAGCGCGUUUCGAGUCUACGAUCCGGAGUGCAGUGAAAUGGAUGCUCUCAUACGCGGAAAAAGCGGAGGAUAUUAUUGCGUAUUGCACGGAUAUUACACAUAUGAGAACCGGAACCUUUUUGAAGUUUCGCAAAAGCGUGAAAACUGUCCUCUCGGUAAUGGAUGGAGUUCCUUGGGAUACUACGGUCCUUUAAAGCAAAACGCCGUAUUUUCAUUCAGCAUUUUGCCAUUUUGUUCUAAUACGAUUUUUUCCCGGUAAAAUUGGCUAAAUUUCGAUAAUCUGGUGCGACUUCUCAACAUUCUACCAUAAUCUUCCUGCAAAAACUUGAUGAAUUUUUACUAAUGUUCAGGUGACAAAAAAUUUAAUAUCUUUCAAAAUUACAUGAUUUUAAAAAUUAUACGACUGUUGUCAUAAAAUUGCCUUUUGCUAACUUUUUCUCAAUCCUUACGUUUAAGCAUGAAUGAGACUUUGAUCGCUCCCCACAUUUAAAAUUGUCUGGGAACAUGUUCCAUAAUAAAGUGUCCUAGCAUAAGUAUGCCUCUAAGCGACGGAGUGACUAUUCCAUAAUGAUUACGAUGCAAUCCCUGCAGUAUAGACAAUAUGCGAAAACGAAGCUUCUCAUCCUUCAGAUGCUCCGAACAUUUUCUUACACGAUUAGCGAAAAAGGCAAGAAACACGAAGAGAAUUAUCAUGUCGUCAAAAUCAACAUGAUAAACCAAAAUUACGGUCAUGAGCCUAUCUUUGAAGCGAGAAGCCGUCUUUCAAUGAAUAUUAAUACAAUAGUAAUGAGGGAGAUACUAACUUCAUGAUGGCCUUGGUUAUGGUGGCAAGUUACAAUGUAGUAUAGCUUUCCAAGCUUGAGUAUAAUUUGAGAACUGAUGCAGGUUUGAUCGAAAAUAGUCAUGAAUAAUUACAGUUCAAGUCUCCUCAUAACGAUGGUGAAACAACAGAAUAGAUAUCCGCUCUGAGUCGUUGCAGAAUUCCUGUUGUCGUACUUCAUUUUCUACAUUGAAAACUAUUAAACGUCAUUUCUUGAAAAUUCGAUGAUUUUGAGCGUUCACCACGUUAGUAGUGUAUUGAGCGUUCACCACGUUAGUAGUGUACGCUCUUUCCGGCCGUUUUGCAGCGGGUAUGUUACUAAUGGAUCCAUUGGUAAUAGCCCGCACUGCUCCAUGGGAAUCGGCGCCAUUUUUCGUGGCGGGAAGCAAUUCCUAGUUUCUUAAUUUUAUUUAUGUACCAUUUCUACCUUUUUUCUCCUAUUUUGUCCACUUUAUGUAAUGCCUGUAGGCUUGUCUUCGAGAAAUUAAUAUUUUUACAUUUUCAAACUCUGCAACGUACUUUUAUUUAAUGACUCUUUCAAGCAUCGUUCAAAUUUUUUGUCGUCAUAAUUCUAGGAAAAUGUAUGGGUACAAAGUACCCCCUUAUUAAUGACUCCUAUAUUUUACUCUAUGAUUCUUGUAUAUAUGUAUGUUUCCUAGGUUACGCUCCACGUUUAGUUCAACAGCGUCUUGCAGCGCUCUCUUCCGUCCACGCAAAACCACUUAUACACAUUGAGGAGGUGCUACGGUGAACGCUCUCCAACGUUGAGACGUUGGAACCGUCGUCUUGUUUCUGGUUUUAACCCAUUUGUACAUCGAUCUUUUAGAGUCAAAUACGUCAAAUUUUGAACGUUUGGUUGCGCGCACACUAAGUUGCAGCAAAGUAAAAGUACAACAUAAAAAAGCAAAAAUUAAACUGCUUUGGAAAUCAUUGAAUUUGACACCGAACCACUUUAAUAUUUACUAAACACACAGGAUAUUUUCCUGAAUAACAUAUUUCCCCCAUCAAUUGAAAUGAGAAUAAUCCAUGCAGAGUGUGCUAACAUUUCAAAAUCAUGAAUCAAAAAACGCUGACUCCGCGAGUUUAAAUAUUAGAGCCAAACACAUAGCGAAGCGGCGUGCUGUCAGCGCGACACGCGCACUGGCGCCUACAAACCUAACAGGGAUACUUCACGCAUUGCGCAAUGCGUGAAGUAUCCCUGUUAGGUUUGUAGGCGCCAAUGCGCGUGUUGCGCUGGUCGCCCUCGGCCGCCGCGCAUCAAGCAACUAUUUCGCAACAGAGGUGUCGCACAGAAUCAUAUGAAAUUGAAGGCGCCAUUUUUCGUGGCAGGAAGCAAUAUCUAGUUUCUCAAUUUUAUUUAUGUACCAUUUCUACCUUUUUUCUCCUAUUUUGUCCACUUUAUGUAAUGCCUGUAGGCUUGCCUUUGAGAAAUUAAUAUCUUUACGUUUUAAAACUCUGCAACGUACUUUUAUUUGAUGACUCUUUCAAGCAUCGUUCAAAUUUUUAGUCGUCAGAGAUCUGAAAAAAUUGUUGGGUACCAAGUACCCCUUCACAACAUGACCCCUAUAUUUUACUCUAUGAUGACAAGACAUCCCUUAUAAAUGUAUAUCCUUAUAUAUCCGUCCGCGCAAAACAACUUUUACAUUUUAACAUCGGAGUUCCCCCCCCCCUCCCGCUAGAUCGAACUACUGUAAAUUUGAAUUACAAUGCGUUGUUGGUGAUCAUAAGAGAAUUUGUGAAUUUUAAGUGUAAUAUUUUCUUUUUCCCAUCGCCAAUCGCCGACGGGACGGUGUUUGACGCACUGCAUCAAGUAUUCCCACAGUCUUAUAAGCGCUAACAUUCAUUUUUAAUAAAAAAAAAACUAAUAAAUUGACGAGGUGUUACGGUGAACGCUCUCCAACGUCUUAACGUUGGAACCGUCGUCUUGUUUUUAU